CUUUCCAGAGAUGGAUUGGUGCCUUCGGGAACUGUGAGACAGGUGCUGCAUGGCUGUCGUCAGCUCGUGUUGUGAAAUGUUGGGUUAAGUCCCGCAACGAGCGCAACCCUUAUCCUUUGUUGCCAGCGAUUAGGUCGGGAACUCAAAGGAGACUGCCAGUGAUAAACUGGAGGAAGGUGGGGAUGACGUCAAGUCAUCAUGGCCCUUACGACCAGGGCUACACACGUGCUACAAUGGCGCAUACAAAGAGAAGCGACCUCGCGAGAGCAAGCGGACCUCAUAAAGUGCGUCGUAGUCCGGAUUGGAGUCUGCAACUCGACUCCAUGAAGUCGGAAUCGCUAGUAAUCGUGGAUCAGAAUGCCACGGUGAAUACGUUCCCGGGCCUUGUACACACCGCCCGUCACACCAUGGGAGUGGGUUGCAAAAGAAGUAGGUAGCUUAACCUUCGGGAGGGCGCUUACCACUUUGUGAUUCAUGACUGGGGUGAAGUCGUAACAAGGUAACCGUAGGGGAACCUGCGGUUGGAUCACCUCCUUACCUUAAAGAAGC
rnacentral:rRNA from 2 species